UUUUUCCACCGGAGCUUGCUCCACCGGAAAAAGAGGAGUGGCGAACGGGUGAGUAACACGUGGGUAACCUGCCCAUCAGAAGGGGAUAACACUUGGAAACAGGUGCUAAUACCGUAUAACAAUCGAAACCGCAUGGUUUUGAUUUGAAAGGCGCUUUCGGGUGUCGCUGAUGGAUGGACCCGCGGUGCAUUAGCUAGUUGGUGAGGUAACGGCUCACCAAGGCCACGAUGCAUAGCCGACCUGAGAGGGUGAUCGGCCACAUUGGGACUGAGACACGGCCCAAACUCCUACGGGAGGCAGCAGUAGGGAAUCUUCGGCAAUGGACGAAAGUCUGACCGAGCAACGCCGCGUGAGUGAAGAAGGUUUUCGGAUCGUAAAACUCUGUUGUUAGAGAAGAACAAGGAUGAGAGUAACUGUUCAUCCCUUGACGGUAUCUAACCAGAAAGCCACGGCUAACUACGUGCCAGCAGCCGCGGUAAUACGUAGGUGGCAAGCGUUGUCCGGAUUUAUUGGGCGUAAAGCGAGCGCAGGCGGUUUCUUAAGUCUGAUGUGAAAGCCCCCGGCUCAACCGGGGAGGGUCAUUGGAAACUGGGAGACUUGAGUGCAGAAGAGGAGAGUGGAAUUCCAUGUGUAGCGGUGAAAUGCGUAGAUAUAUGGAGGAACACCAGUGGCGAAGGCGGCUCUCUGGUCUGUAACUG
rnacentral:rRNA from 1 species